rnacentral:rRNA from 1 species
GACGAACGCUGGCGGCGUGCUUAACACAUGCAAGUCGAACGGAAAGGCCCUGCUUUUGUGGGGUGCUCGAGUGGCGAACGGGUGAGUAACACGUGAGUAACCUGCCCUUGACUUUGGUAUAACUUCAGGAAACUGGGGCUAAUACCGGAUAGGAGCUCCUGCUGCAUGGUGGGGGUUGGAAAGUUUCGGCGGUGGGGGAUGGACUCGCGGCUUAUCAGCUUGUUGGUGGGGUAGUGGCUUACCAAGGCUUUGACGGGUCGCCGGCCUGAGAGGGUGACCGGCCACAUUGGGACGGAGAUACGGCCCAGACUCCUACGGGAGGAAGCAGUGGGGAAUAUUGCACAAUGGGCGGAAGCCUGAUGCAGCAACGCCGCGUGCGGGAUGACGGCCUUCGGGUUGUAAACCGCUUUCGCCUGUGACGAAGCGUGAGUGACGGUAAUGGGUAAAGAAGCACCGGCUAACUACGUG